AUUGAACGCUGGCGGCAGGCCUAACACAUGCAAGUCGAACGAGAGGCGGACGGGUGUGUAAAGUCUGGGAAACUGCCCGAUGGAGGGGGAUAACUACUGGAAAAGGUAGCUAAUACCGCAUACCAUCGGAUGUGCCCAGAUGGGAUUAGCUUGUAGGUGAGGUAACGGCGCACCUCGGCGACGAUCCCUAGCUGGUCUGAGAGGGUGACCAGCCAAACUGGAACUGAGACACGGUCCAGACUCCUACGGGAGUCAGCAGUGGGGAAUAGUGCACAAUGGGCGCAAGCCUGAUGCAGCCAUGCCGCGUGUAUGAAGAAGGCCUUCGGGUUGUAAAGUACUUUCAGCGGGGAGGCGUUACCCGCAGAAGAAGCACCGGCUAACUCCGUGCCAGCAGCCGCGGUAAUAC
rnacentral:rRNA from 1 species